CAAGUAAAUCCUUCAAUUUUUGGCAUUUGCCUGUAUAAUAAUAAUCAACCGGAACAUCCACAUGCUGGCUUCAAGAUGCCAAGGACACUUCAACCACUUAGUAAUUCUGAUGAACAGCGCAUAAAGAAGAACUGGAGUUUUUUGAAAGAAGAGCUACAUCAAGAUGAGAUAAGAGAUGCAUUUAUGGAUGAAGAUAUCUGGGAUGUCAAGGACUUUGAUGAAAUUGAUGCAAUGCCUACUCCAAAUAAAAAGAAUGAAGUUUUCCUUAGGCUAUUAUUAAAGUCUGGACCAGGGGCAUACAAAGUUUUUGUUGAUGCUUUGAAAGCAAAACACUCUGAUCAUAUUUUAGAAAAACUUAAAAAUACACCAAUUACUGAGAAUAAACAGGCAGCCCAAGUGGACCAUUUUGCAAAACUAACAGAUGCUCAGAAAUCGCAUUACCUCACCGAACAAAAUCUCCUCAAAUUCAACAAAUGUUUUGGAAGUGAUGUUGAAAUAGUUGGGAAAGCUUUACUCCUUACACAGUCCGAUAUUGAUGUGAUAAGAAUGGAAAACCCAUAUUCUGCAAUCACACAGAUUCAUAAGAUUAUUCUCAGAUGGAAAUAUAAAAAUGGAAGAAAUGCAACAUUGGGAGAAUUAACCAGGUGUUUUAUGGAUGCAGAGAAUGCUGGUGCAAGAGUGGACUGGGACAAGUUUGAUCAAGGUGUUAAUGUUUUGACACAGAACAUGUAGGCUAGAACAAAAGACAAUAGCCAGUAUUUGACUACAGUUGAACAUCAGUAAUUUAUCAAAUACCAUGAAUAUGUUAAAAUAAGUUGAAAGUCUCAAGUUUUGUUUGUUUUUUUUUUUUUUUUUUUUUUUUUUUUUUUUUUUUGUAUACAUGUAUUUUUACUCUGAUAUCUUGAAUCCAUUAAAAUCUCCCACUUUUUUCUCAGCUCCAUUGAGUUUAAGACAACGAGGUUGACUGUGGUUAGUUCUGUAAAUUAAAGAACUGAUACUUUCACAGAAUACAGAGUUAACAAAAAAUUAUUGUAUUUUACUUUCUAUAAGAAAGGUGGAUCAAAAUUCAACAUAUGAAUUUAAAGACUUUACUUGUGUUGAUCUACUGAGCAUUAGAAAGUAUUACAUAUACAUGUAUCUGAAGAAAACAACAAAAGUGCUUAUAUUUUAACAAGAAGUGUU